ACUCGACUUUGACUUUAACACCAAUGACUCGUGACUCGACCUGACUUGAUACCCUCCCCAAGCCCAAAUAUGAAAAAUGAUGCUAUUAAAAAAGUGUGCAGUGCAUCAACUCUUCCUUUAACGGAUUAAAGUUUGAAUCGGACAGCAGCCAAUCAAAUUGUGUCAGCGGAGAAAAAGUUGCGUGUGGCAGUGCAGAGGAACGUCAGCGGGUGAAUUCAGAUUGAGCCAUUGGAAACAUGAUACCCAAAUUAUUAUUUUCGGAUAUACAGACUACGCUGUAGUCAACAAAAAACGGAUUGUAACUUGCAAAACAUGCAGGAAGAAAAUUACAGAUGGAGGCGCAACAACUUCCAACUUUGUUCGACAUUUGAAGCUGCACAAAGAACGAUUUGAACAAUACCAGAUGAACAAAAGUGUCACAAGUGAAACACAACAGUCUCCAAUCUCACAGUUCAUGGAGACCCGUGUAGGGCAGUACAGUAUGAAUCAUCCACAGCAGAAAGCUAUCAACAAUACAAUACUGUCCGACCUGGUUAUCGAUUGCAACUUGCCUCUGUCUAUUGUGGAAAACAAGAGUUUUCAUCACUUUCUGUCAGUGGUUGACAGUAUGUACAGCCCAGUGUGUCGUAGAACAUUGACAUCAAAAGUAGAGAACCUCGCUACAGAGAGACGUUCAAAACUGAAAACUCAGUUGAGCAACACAGACCAUGUUUCAGUCACAGUGAACAUUUGGUCUGACCCGAAAGAUGAGGGGUUUCCUUGGUGUCACUGUGCACUGUAUGGAGAAAGAUGGAGAGAGGAUUCAGCUCAAGUCCUAUCUCUUGGCCUGUGACCGCUUCAAAGGCCCACACAUGGCCAAAAUAAUCUGUGAGUAAUUUGAAGCCAUAUGUGGUGAGUACAGCAUUAAAGAUAAAUUGUCAUUAGUGACAAUGCUGCCAAAAUGAGAAAAGCAUUCACGGUGUGCUUCCCCAUUGAACAAGAAGAUGAAGUACAUGACGAAGAUCACCUUGAUGACCCAGAGCUCUGGAAUGACCUAACCCUGGAAGACCAGCAAACAGUGGAUGCUGCUAUUGCAAAAAAGCAGCGCUUGCAGUGUUUUGCCCACACUCUCCAGCUGGUGGUGGGAGAUGGCUUGAAAGAAACAAAAAUCAGCUCACUGCUACAUACAAGCACAACAUUCAAAGAGUUGUUUGAGGCUGAAUUUGGGGAAAGAGGCACCCCAGCUGCUGUCAACACAAGAUGAAACUCAACACUGAGACAAGUGAAGGCAGUUAUCCAAUGUGAUCAUUGAAAGCUCAGUUAUGUUCUAGAAAAGGCUGGGUACACGGAGUUGUUAUUCACAGUACGGGAGUGGAAUAAGUUGAAGGAGUUGGUGGACAUCCUGAGGCCAUUUGGAGAAGCAACAGAUAUAACACAGGGAGGAAAGAUAGUCACAAUCAGUUCUGUUGUUCCCUCGGUCCUGUCCUUGAAUCACCACCUGGAGCAGCGGAAGCCUCAAGUCCAUUUCUUGAGCGGCCUGGUCAGAAGUCUCCAGGCAUCCCUGAACAAAAGAUUUCUUGGAAUCUUCAUCAAUGUGAAGAUGGCCAGGACACAAGAUGGAAUCACUGCCCCCUUUUAAGAUCCAGUCUACCUCAAAGCAGCUGCCUUGGAUCUGGAUUUUUCUCUGAUGUGGGUGGAGCACCUUGUGCUGGUCAAGGAGGAGUUGGCACAAAGAGUGAAAGAACUGAUUCUGCAAGAUGCUACAGGGACUGAGCAAGCUGUGCCUCUUGUUGAUGAGGAAGAGCGAGAGGACCAUAGUCUUGGACAAGAAGAAGGGCUGUGUGUCUUUCUCAUGGCUACCCAUGUACUUCCAUGGAAAUAUAAAGUUUAUUUGGAAAGUAAUGAAUAUAUAUAAUUUUAAAAGCAUUUAUGAUUUGCGUAAAUUUAAUAUACUAUUAUACUAUUGUUAAAUAUGAAAUGGUAUUACAUUUGGUGAAGAGCAAAUUAUGACUUGUUUAGGACUCUAAACUCAAAGUUUAGGACUUGAUACUUGACAGUCUUGACUUGAGACUUGACUCGGACUUGCCUGUUUUGACUUGGGACUUGAGUGCUAAGACUUGAGACUUACUUGUGACUUGUAAAACAAUGACUUGGUCCCAUCUCUGGCCACUUGCAUGAUCCCAUGUGUGUCUUCUUGAAAUAUUGAGUUUAACUCAGUAAUCUGUCUGUCUAGAAUAUUGUUCCAAUGUUGCCUCAGGUACCUGUCACUCUUUGAUGCUGGAUGUUUUCCCUAAUGAAGUUGUGACUACACUGUCUGCCAAUUUUACAGGCAGUGAAAACUGCCGUGAUGGCCUCGCAUCCCAAUUAUUAAUAUAAUGCUUAAUCAUCAUCUCUUCAGUUAGCUUGAGAACUUUACCAAAGUCUCCCUGAGUUAUCUCUGAACAUAGAAAAGCUGCUUUUGAGGAUUUCAAUUAAACCAAUACAGUCCGUCACAGAUAAUGUAGAGCUUUGUAAUCCCUUCGUAGCAAAAUCCCUAGUGUCAAACAAUUGACUAAACGUGACUAACAGGAAUAAAAACGUAUUGUUCUGGAUUUGUUGUAAGAGGGCAUCGGCUUCCAAUUUGGUUUGUCCACAAGCCUCUUAAAAAUCUGCAAGAACUUCUAAAAUGACAUCUAGCAGUAACAGCCCUUUACUCACUGACCCUGAUUUUGAACUCCAACGUACAUCCAUGGAUCUUUCUAGCUCGAUACAUGGUCUACCGGGAUGCAACUCUUUCUGUACUUCUAUGAAUAGAGCAUGUCUGUGGGAGCCACUCAAAUGUGUGUAGCUGGUUUACUGUGUCAAAAAAAGUAUUGACAUGUCCCGACACUUUUUCCACGGUGCACAGAACCAAAUUCAAACGGUGGGAGUUGCAAUGCACAUAUACUGCUUGCUUAAAUGUUUGCUUUAGUAGGA